rnacentral:rRNA from 1 species
UUGGAGGGCAAGUCUGGUGCCAGCAGCCGCGGUAAUUCCAGCUCCAAUAGCGUAUAUUAAAGUUGUUGUGGUUGAAAAGCUCGUAGUUGAACCUUGGGCCUGGCUGGCCGGUCCGCCUCACCGCGUGCACUGGUCCGGCCGGGCCUUUCCCUCUGUGGAACCCCAUGCCCUUCACUGGGCGUGGCGGGGAAACAGGACUUUUACUUUGAAAAAAUUAGAGUGCUCCAGGCAGGCCUAUGCUCGAAUACAUUAGCAUGGAAUAAUAAAAUAGGACGUGCGGUUCUAUUUUGUUGGUUUCUAGGACCGCCGUAAUGAUUAAUAGGGACAGUCGGGGGCAUCAGUAUUCAACUGUCAGAGGUGAAAUUCUUGGAUUUAUUGAAGACUAACUACUGCGAAAGCAUUUGCCAAGGAUGUUUUCAUUAAUCAGGAACGAAAGUUAGGGGAUCGAAGACGAUCAGAUACCGUCGUAGUCUUAACCGUAAACGAUGCCGACUAGGGAUCGGACGGUGUUAUUACUUGACCCGUUCGGCGCCUUACGGGAAAC